rnacentral:lncRNA from 1 species
UCUGUAAACUUUUUAUGGAAUUUCUCCUAAAAUAUACAUGUGUUUAAAAUUUAAAAAGAAAGAAAGAAUAUUUGGCAAUAAUGUAUUGAGAGAUUGGAUCAAAAACCACAAAUAUUUUGAAACUUAAUGCAACACAUACCUAAAUGUGCUCAUUUAUUUUUAGCUUUCGAAAGUCCAGUUAUUUAAUCUCUUAAUCAAAAUGUUUGAAGUUUCCAUUUCUAAAUACAUGAAAUGAUAAUAAAUAAUGAGCCCAAAAUGAAAAUGCACCCAUUUAAGGAGAAAAAUGGGAAUUUGAUGGAAAGUGAAUGUGAGUUUGAAUGAAAUGGAUAUAUCCUUUGUCUCCUUUGAUUUUCAGCUCCAGGUUAAUGAAGCACUGAAGUGGCAGCCAGCAGAAGUGCCUCUGGUUGAAUUCUUUGGCUUUACGUUUUUCAUCCAUAUCAGGAAGUAAUUAAAUAUAAAAAGUGUGCAUUGGAAAGAGUGUCCGAUACAGAACAUUCACAGGAGGAGGGAACAUUAUAGCUCUAAUUGAGGCUAUAACCCUUUCAAGAACCUAUGCUUAUUAUGCUUAACUGGGAGACAAGACACAAGACGUUUUUUAAGACACAAAAAGAGGAAGAUUUUGAGAUCAAAGGGAAAGUUGAGCCAGCUGAUUGCCAGCAUGGGGCCCAAGGUUCUGAUGUGAUUACUUUCUUCAAGAAUCAGAAUGACUGCAGCCUCUUCACCUAAAUUUCAUAAUGAAGCAACAAAAGCCAAGGUGAGUAAGGUUAUUCAAGCCAGAAAUUUCUCAGGAAGUGACGUGAGCAUGAGGCACAUGUUUUAAAGGCUGCUUGAGAUUCUUCUAUUCUUCAGACUUACCAGUGCAUUUCACCUUCGUUAGGGACAUCUUGCUUUCAGUUAAGGGACAGUGGAAGAAUUACUUAAUAAAUCAGGACCUUCCUAAUAGUAAGGGACAGAAAACACAAUCUAAUUAUGCAAAAAGGGCUCAUUUAGGUGGCACCUUCAUGGGUAGGGCUCGUGAGGCAUGGCUUGACAAGUGGCUGAUACCAUGGCACUGAGAUCUGAUUUCUUUCUGUCAUCUGCUGUCUUAGCUCUAUUCUCAGAAAGAUUCUCUUCAUCUAAGGGUAAAAUUGUGGCAGCUGCUUAAGUUCCAAAACAAUGGUAAAGGGUGUGCUUCCCUAAUAACUCAAAACAAAUCCUGGAAUCGGGUCUAAUUGUUCCAUGUGACCAUAAUCCGAGCCAAUGGCUAUGACCAAAUGUCAUCUUCUGGAAGACCAGUGGCAACAUGGAAUGAGGAAACAGAGUGCUUAUUAAAAGGCAAUUAGAACCCAUGACUGGAGUUACCUGAUGUAGUUUUUCCACUGUAUGGCCUUGGGUAAGUUAAUUUAGCUCUUAGGUUCACAUGUUGCUCCCUGUGAAAUGGGAGACUAGAUUACAUCUAGGGGAUCUUACAGUUCUAAUGUGAGAGUUUUGUUUGUGGAAUGUUCCAACAUUUGAGAGUUGAAGAGCUCCAAUUGUAUCAUCCACAAAAUCUUCUAGAAUAGUUUUGAAUAGAAGUUUCAUGUUUCACCCAUGGAACCAUGAAACCCAAAGGAGGCGUUCAAGGGGAGGAGACAGAUUGAUCAGAUCCAAAUUGAAUUAAAAUUAGGGAGAUCUAUCUGGCCAAGUGAAAUUAGUGGCUCUUAAAAGUUUGAUGAAUGAAUCCUGGUCAGCAUAAAAUUUUUUUUAAUCACUAAAAAAAAUUUGGAAGCCAGUGUGCACUGGUGACCAUG